rnacentral:rRNA from 1 species
GAUGAACGCUGGCGGCGUGCCUAAUACAUGCAAGUCGAGCGAACGGACGAGAAGUUUGCUUCUCUGAUGUUAGCGGCGGACGGGUGAGUAACACGUGGAUAACCUACCUAUAAGACUGGGAUAACUUCGGGAAACCGGAGCUAAUACCGGAUAAUAUUUUGAACCGCAUGGUUCAAAAGUGAAAGACGGUCUUGCUGUCACUUAUAGAUGGAUCCGCGCUGCAUUAGCUAGUUGGUAAGGUAACGGCUUACCAAGGCAACGAUGCAUAGCCGACCUGAGAGAGUGAGCGGCCACACUGGAACUGAGACACGGUCCAGACUCCUACGGGAGGCAGCAGUAGGGAAUCUUCCGCAAUGGGCGAAAGCGUGACGGAGAAACGCCGCGUGAGUGAUGAAGGUCUUCGGAUCGUAAAACUCUGUUAUUAGGGAAGAACAUAUGUGUAAGUAACUGUGCACAUCUUGACGGUACCUAAUCAGAAAGCCACGGCUAACUACGUG